rnacentral:tRNA from 1 species
GGGGUUGUGGCUCAGUGGUAGAGCACUUGCCUGGCAUGUGUGGGACAAUGGGUUUGAUCCUCAGCCCCA